UACGGAGGGUGCGAGCGUUGUCCGGAAUCACUGGGCGUAAAGGGUGCGUAGGCGGGUCUUUAAGUCCGGGGGGAAAUCCUGGAGCUCAACUCCAGAACUGCCUUUGAUACUGAAGAUCUUGAGUUCGGGAGAGGUGAGUGGAACUGCGAGUGUAGAGGUGAAAUUCGUAGAUAUUCGCAAGAACACCAGUGGCGAAGGCGGCUCACUGGCCCGAUACUGACGCUGAGGUGCGAAAGCGUGGGGAGCAAACAGG
rnacentral:rRNA from 1 species